AGCACAAUCUUGAAGUAGAGUAGUCUAGUAAGGUCAGAUGAUCCUUCUACGCUGCUCUACUUCAAAUUUGAGCCC
rfam:Haemonchus placei strain MHpl1 genome assembly, scaffold: HPLM_scaffold0000837